rnacentral:rRNA from 1 species
UAUUGGACAAUGGGCGCAAGCCUGAUCCAGCCAUGCCGCGUGAGUGAUGAAGGCCUUAGGGUUGUAAAGCUCUUUCACCGGUGAAGAUAAUGACGGUAACCGGAGAAGAAGCCCCGGCUAACUUCGUGCCAGCAGCCGCGGUAAUACGAAGGGGGCUAGCGUUGUUCGGAAUUACUGGGCGUAAAGCGCAUGUAGGCGGACAUUUAAGUCAGGGGUGAAAUCCCGGGGCUCAACCUCGGAACUGCCUUUGAUACUGGGUGUCUAGAGUGUGGAAGAGGUAAGUGGAAUUCCGAGUGUAGAGGUGAAAUUCGUAGAUAUUCGGAGGAACACCAGUGGCGAAGGCGGCUUACUGGUCCAUUACUGACGCUGAGGUGCGAAAGCGUGGGGAGCAAACAGGA